UACGGGGGGGGGUAAGCGUUGUUCGGAAUUACUGGGCGUAAAGGGCUCGUAGGCGGCCAACUAAGUCAGACGUGAAAUCCCUCAGCUUAACUGGGGAACUGCGUCUGAUACUGGAUGGCUUGGAUUCGGGAGAGGAAUGCGGAAUUCCAGGUGUAGCGGUGAAAUGCGUAGAUAUCAGGAGGAACACCUGUGGCGAAGGCGGCCCCCUGGUUGGAUACUGACGCUGAUACGCGAAAGCGUGGGGAGCAAACAGG
rnacentral:rRNA from 1 species